AUUGAACGCUGGCGGCAGGCCUAACACAUGCAAGUCGAGCGGAGCGGGGGACGGGUACGUAAUGCCUAUGACUCUGCCUGGUCGUGGUGGAUAACGUCCGGCACCGGGCGCUAAUGCCGCUUCCUCUCAGAUGCGCCUGGGUCGGAUUAGGUAGUUGGUGGGGUAAGGGCCUACCAAGGCGACGACCCGUAGCUGGUCUGAGAGGAUGAGCAGUCACACUGGAACUGAGACACGGUCCAGACUCCUACGGGAGGCAGCAGUGGGGAAUAUGGGACAAUGGGCGAAAGCCUGAUGCAGCCAUGCCGCGUGUAUGAAGAAGGUCUUCGGAUUGUAAAGCACUUUAAGUGGGGAGGCGUUACCCACAGAAUAAGCACCGGCUAACUCCGUGCCAGCAGCCGCGGUAAUAC
rnacentral:rRNA from 1 species